rnacentral:rRNA from 1 species
AGCGAACGCUGGCGGCAGGCCUAACACAUGCAAGUCGAACGAACCCUUCGGGGUUAGUGGCGGACGGGUGAGUAACACGUGGGAACGUGCCUUUAGGUUCGGAAUAACUCAGGGAAACUUGUGCUAAUACCGAAUGUGCCCUUCGGGGGAAAGAUUUAUCGCCUUUAGAGCGGCCCGCGUCUGAUUAGCUAGUUGGUGAGGUAAUGGCUCACCAAGGCUACGAUCAGUAGCUGGUCUGAGAGGAUGACCAGCCACAUUGGGACUGAGACACGGCCCAAACUCCUACGGGAGGCAGCAGUGGGGAAUCUUGCGCAAUGGGCGAAAGCCUGACGCAGCCAUGCCGCGUGGAUGAUGAAGGUCUUAGGAUUGUAAAAUCCUUUCACCGGUGAAGAUAAUGACUGUAGCCGGAGAAGAAGCACCGGCUAACUACGUGCCAGCAGCCGCCGUAA